ACACGAGGUAGCUCAGUCGGUAGAGCAUGUAACUCUUAAUCUCAUUGUUGUGGGUUUGAGUCCCAUGUUGGGCA